rnacentral:pre_miRNA from 1 species
UUUAUACUCCCCCUCUCCCAAAAUUAUUUUCUUAGAUUUGUCUAAAUAUGGAUGUAUCUAGUUACGUUAGAUACAUCCGUAUCUAAACAAAUUUAAAACAAGAAUUUUGGGACAGAGGGAGUAUAAU